AACGCACAUUGCGCCCUUUGGUAUUCCAAAGGGCAUGCCUGUUUGAGCGUCAUUUCUCCCUCAAACCCUCGGGUUUGGUGUUGAGCGAUACGCUGGGUUUGCUUGAAAGGAAGGCGGAGUAUAAACUAAUGGAUAGGUUUUUUCCACUCAUUGGUACAAACUCCAAAACUUCUACCAAAUUCGACCUCAAAUCAGGUAGGACUACCCGCUGAACUUAA
rnacentral:misc_RNA from 1 species